AACAGGGACACGGCACAGCACUGCAAAGCUUUAGUGCACACACGUCAAAGACAGACUCACCCACUGCACUACACACACUUCAGUGAUUUUUAAGGUCGGUACUCCACACCCGGUCGGAUUUCGUCCUGGAGGAAUUUGCAGUCGCUGUCACGCUUCGUGCAGACGCCCAGAAAGGUCGUCGUUGUUCCACAAUGUCACUAUUUCUCUACGGCACCUUCGUACAACAGACACGAGUGAGUACGACUUCUCUCCAUCAACUUCACUUUGGCAAACCUGUUCCAGUGGCCGUUUUCAAAUCCUCCAAUUCGCUUAGCGACUCCACAAUUACUCUCAUCUGCUUCGCCCUACUCCAGCGCCCAAACACUCCGUCCCACUCGUGGCGUUCCUUGGGAGGCCAAAAACAACACACCUUCCUGUAUCCUCGAUGCCCUCUUUAUACCCAUGAACUGCCCUGUCUGCAAUC
ensembl:lncRNA